CAGUAGCCGCGGUAAUACAGAGGUCUCAAGCGUUGUUCGGAUUCAUUGGGCGUAAAGGGUGCGUAGGUGGCGGUGUAAGUCUAACGUGAAAUCUCGGGGCUCAACCUCGAAAUUGCGUCGGAUACUGCAUUGCUAGAGGAUUGUAGAGGAGAGUGGAAUUCAUGGUGUAGCAGUGAAAUGCGUAGAUAUCACGAGGAAGACCAGUUGCGAAGGCGACUCUCUGGGCAAUUCCUGACACUGAGGCACGAAGGCUAGGGGAGCAAACGGGAUUAGAUACCCCAGUAGUCCCUGUCUCUUAUAC
rnacentral:rRNA from 1 species